GCAGGGACAUAUCCAACGGGCAGUGUUCGAUAGGGGCGUGGCUACAGUGACACUACAAUGUUUUUUUCUAUUUUUAAAAUUAUUUAAUCACAUGUCGAACCGCGGUUGUUCGAUAGGUACCCUGU
rnacentral:ncRNA from 2 species